rnacentral:sRNA from 1 species
UCGUGAAGGUGUCAAGAUGUUUUUAAACACAUUCCCUUGUCCUGUUUAAGGUUUCAGGCUCUGUAUAACUAUACUCCUAGGAACGAAGAUGAGCUGGAGCUCAGAGAAAGUGAUGUCAUUGAUGUGAUGGAAAAGUGUGAUGACGGCUGGUUUGUGGGGACCUCAAGAAGAACCAAAUUCUUUGGUACUUUCCCCGGAAACUACGUCAAGAGGCUGUGAAUUGCUCUCCCUCCUUCUGUAGAGGCCGCCUGCCAGCCACGCACCUGCGUCAACGCGCCUGAAACACCCCGCGGGCCUCCCGUUGUCAUGCCUUACGGUUUCCAAUGUCACCAUCUCCACCUGCCACCAAACCACCAGCAGAGUAACCGCCGCUGCUGUGAGCCUGGGGGCGACAUGGCAGGCUGGCCCCCCUCCG